rnacentral:lncRNA from 1 species
AACCUAUCAAUUAAGAAACGAACUCCACUUUUUGUAAAAAAAAUACCAGGAAUUAGGAAACAUGGCAAUAUGAAUCUUAAGGCUAAUCGAUAAAGAAUCUAAGGAAUAAAAAGGCCAACCGCAGGACGGUCGAGACUUAUUGCUCCAACUUACUCGAAAUUGCAGCUCAUCUUCCCUACGGAUUUACGGCGAAGAGCAAAAGAAAGCAUCGAAUGAGUGAGACGGAGAAGAGAAGCAGAGUGAGAUUGAGAACCAGGGAAAACAGUGAGACUAGGAAGAAAGCAUUAAAAAAAAUGUAAUUACCAACUUCAGACCUCGUACUUUUUAAGAUCGCAGGAAGUGCAGUGAAUUCUGGUUCUGGAGUGAUAAAAUUAAAAUUGAAGAACGGAGAGACGUCUGGUUGAAGAUGAAAUUAAAAUUACGUUAGGGUUAGUGGAUCUAAUAUUAUAUACAAAUAAAUAUUAUAAAAU